GACGAACGCUGGCGGCGUGCUUAACACAUGCAAGUCGAACGGAAAGGCCCUGCUUUUGUGGGGUUCUCGAGUGGCGAACGGGUGAGUAACACGUGAGUAACCUGCCCUUGACUUUGGGAUAACUUCAGGAAACUGGGGCUAAUACCGGAUAGGAGCUCCUGCUGCAUGGUGGGGGUUGGAAAGUUUCGGCGGUUGGGGAUGGACUCGCGGCUUAUCAGCUUGUUGGUGGGGUAGUGGCUUACCAAGGCUGUGACGGGUAGCCGGCCUGAGAGGGUGAACGGCCACAUUGGGACUGAGAGACGGACCAGACUCGUACGGGAGGCAGCAGUGGGGAAUAUUGCACAAUGGGCGGAAGCCUGAUGCAGCAAUGCCGCGUGCGGGAUGACGGCCUUCGGGUUGUAAACCGCUUUCGCCUGUGACGAAGCGUGAGUGACGGUAAUGGGUAAAGAAGCACCGGCUAACUACGUG
rnacentral:rRNA from 1 species